rnacentral:rRNA from 1 species
UUGGUGAAGUGGAUGAUCCUAUGCUGCCGAGAAAAGCCUCUAGUGAGUGUUGUGGCGGCCCGUACCCUAAACCGACUCAGGUGGUCAGGUAGAGAAUACCAAGGCGAUCGGGUGAACUGUGGUUAAGGAACUCGGCAAAUUGCCCCCGUAACUUCGGGAGAAGGGGGACCUCUGCUGGUGAUGGGCUUUACGUUCUGAGCUGGUGGGGGUCGCAGUGGCCAGGGGGAAGCGACUGUUUACUAAAAACACAGGUCCGUGCGAAGUCGUAAGACGAUGUAUACGGACUGACGCCUGCCCGGUGCCGGAACGUUAAGGGGACCGCUUAGCCAGCUUCGGUUGGCGAAGGUGAGAACUUAAGCGCCGGUAAACGGCGGUGGUAACUAUAACCAUCCUAAGGUAGCGAAAUUCCUUGUCGGGUAAGUUCCGACCUGCACGAAUGGCGUAACGACUUCCCCGCUGUCUCAACCACAGACCCGGCGAAAUUGCACUACGAGUAAAGAUGCUCGUUUCGCGCAGCAGGACGGAAAGACCCCGGGACCUUCACUACAGCUUGACAUUGGCGUUUGGAACGUCUUGUGUAGGAUAGGUGGGAGACUAGGAAGCUGUCACGCUAGUGAUGGUGGAGUCAUUGGUGAAAUACCACUCUGGUCGUUUUGAACGUCUAACUCUGGUCCGUGAUCCGGAUCGGGGACAGUGUCUGGUGGGUAGUUUAGCUGGGGCGGUUGCCUCCUAAAGAGUAACGGAGGCGCCCAAAGGUUCCCUCAGCCUGGUUGGCAAUCAGGUGUUGAGUGUAAGUGCACAAGGGAGCUUGACUGUGAGACUGACAGGUCGAGCAGGAGCGAAAGCUGGGACUAGUGAUCCGGCAUCGGCGUGUGGAAGCGGUGUCGCUCAACGGCUAAAAGGUACCCCGGGGAUAACAGGCUGAUCUUCCCCAAGAGUCCAUAUCGACGGGAUGGUUUGGCACCUCGAUGUCGGCUCGUCGCAUCCUGGGGCUGGAGUAAGUCCCAAGGGUUGGGCUGUUCGCCCAUUAAAGCGGUACGCGAGCUGGGUUUAGAACGUCGCGAGACAGUUCGGUCCCUAUCCGCUGCGCGCGCAGGAGACUUGAAGGGGGCUGUCCCUAUUACGAGAGGACCGGGACGGACGAACCUCUGGUGUGCCAGUUGUACCGCCAGGUGCACGGCUGGUUGGCUACGUUCGGAAGGGAUAACCGCUGAAAGCAUCUAAGCGGGAAGCUCGCCUUGAGAUGAGGUCUCCCACCCCGUGAGGGGGUAAGGCUCCCGGUAGAUCACCGGGUUGAUAGGCCGGAGGUGGAAGCACGGUAACGUGUGGAGCUGACCGGUACUAAUAGGCCGAGGACUUGAUC